rnacentral:rRNA from 1 species
AUUGAACGCUGGCGGCAUGCCUUACACAUGCAAGUCGAACGCGAAAGGGGGCAACCCUGAGUAGAGUGGCGCACGGGUGAGCAAUACAUCGGAACAUACCCAGUAGUGGGGGACAACCAGUCGAAAGACUGGCUAAUACCGCAUACGACCUACGGGUGAAAGCGGGGGACCGGAAGGCCUCGCGCUAUUGGAUUGGCCGAUGUCUGAUUAGCUAGUUGGUGAGGUAACGGCUCACCAAGGCGACGAUCAGUAGCUGGUCUGAGAGGAUGAUCAGCCACACUGGGACUGAGACACGGCCCAGACUCCUACGGGAGGCAGCAGUGGGGAAUUUUGGACAAUGGGGGCAACCCUGAUCCAGCAAUGCCGCGUGAGUGAAGAAGGCCUUCGGGUUGUAAAGCUCUUUCGGCCGGGACGAAAUCGCUCUGGUGAAUAUCCAGGGUAGAUGACGGUACCGGAAUAAGAAGCACCGGCUAACUACGUGCCAGCCGCCGCAGUAA